rnacentral:rRNA from 1 species
ACGAGUGGCGGACGGGUGAGUAAUGCUUAGGGAUCUGCCCAGAGGUGGGGGACAACAGUUGGAAACGACUGCUAAUACCGCAUGAUGCCUACGGGCCAAAGGGGGCUUCGGCUCUCGCCUUUGGAGGAACCUAAGUGAGAUUAGCUAGUUGGUGAGGUAAUGGCUCACCAAGGCGACGAUCUCUAGCUGGUCUGAGAGGAUGAUCAGCCACACUGGAACUGAGACACGGUCCAGACUCCUACGGGAGGCAGCAGUGGGGAAUAUUGCACAAUGGGGGAAACCCUGAUGCAGCCAUGCCGCGUGUGUGAAGAAGGCCUUCGGGUUGUAAAGCACUUUCAGUAGCGAGGAAAAGUUAUUGGUUAAUACCCAAUAGCCUUGACGUUAACUACAGAAGAAGCACCGGCUAACUCCGUGCCAGCAGCCGCGGUAAUACGGAGGGUGCGAGCGUUAAUCGGAAUUACUGGGCGUAAAGCGCAUGCAGGCGGUCUGUUAAGCCAGAUGUGAAAGCCCGGGGCUCAACCCCGGAAUAGCAUUUGGAACUGGCAGACUAGAGUUUUGUAGAGGGGGGUAGAAUUUCAGGUGUAGCGGUGAAAUGCGUAGAGAUCUGAAGGAAUACCAGUGGCGAAGGCGGCCCCCUGGACAAAAACUGACGCUCAGAUGCGAAAGCGUGGGUAGCAAACAGGAUUAGAUACCCUGGUAGUCCACGCCGUAAACGAUGUCAACUAGUUGCUUGUAGCUUUUACGCUGUGGGUGACGGAGCUAACGCAUUAAGUUGACCGCCUGGGGAGUACGGCCGC